GUUUUUUUCUUCUUCUUAUAUCCCCAUUAUGAACAAGGUUUUGUUUUGUUUUU
rnacentral:sRNA from 1 species